rnacentral:rRNA from 1 species
UACGUAGGGUGCAAGCGUUGUCCGGAAUUAUUGGGCGUAAAGAGCUCGUAGGCGGCUUGUCACGUCGGGUGUGAAAGCCCGGGGCUUAACCCCGGGUCUGCAUUCGAUACGGGCAGGCUAGAGUGUGGUAGGGGAGAUCGGAAUUCCUGGUGUAGCGGUGAAAUGCGCAGAUAUCAGGAGGAACACCGGUGGCGAAGGCGGAUCUCUGGGCCGUAACUGACGCUGAGGAGCGAAAGCGUGGGGAGCGAACAGG